rnacentral:rRNA from 1 species
UACGAAGGGGGCUAGCGUUGCUCGGAAUUACUGGGCGUAAAGGGAGCGUAGGCGGACAUUUAAGUCAGGGGUGAAAUCCCAGAGCUCAACUCUGGAACUGCCUUUGAUACUGGGUGUCUUGAGUGUGAGAGAGGUAUGUGGAACUCCGAGUGUAGAGGUGAAAUUCGUAGAUAUUCGGAAGCACACCAGUGGCGAAGGCGACAUACUGGCUCAUUACUGACGCUGAGGCUCGAAAGCGUGGGGAGCAAACAGG